ensembl:lncRNA
GCAAUGCCGGAUCCUUAACCCAUUGAACGAGGCCAGGGGUUGAACCCGAAACCUCAUGGUUCCUAGUCGGAUUCUUUUCCACUGUGCCAUGAUGGGAACUCCAAAGGAAAUAUCUUUAAAAAAAAAAAAAAGGAAAAAAAAAAUGGAGUUCCUGUUAUGGCUCAGUGGUAAUGAACCUGACUAGUAUCCAUGAAGAUGUGGGUUUGAUCCCUGGCCCCACUCAGUGGCUUAAGGAUCUGGCUUGCUGUGAGACAAGGCUUGGAUCCCAUGUUGUUGUGGCUGUGGCAUAGGCCAGCAGCUAUAGCUCUGAUUUGACCCCCUAGCCUGGGAACUUUCACCCCCCCCCCAAAAAUGUUACAUGCUUAUUUCAAGCAAUUCAGAAUUUUGUAUAUAGCAUAAAAUGAAACCACCUCCUUUGUACAUACCGCUUUUGGAAGAUGACUACUUUUUGGUAUCUGACCUUCCAGACCAGAGGGUUUUCUUUGGUAUAAAAAAUAAGUUGCUUCUCUUGGGUGGUAUACUCAGUUUGAUUUUUAUAACCUUUUCUUUGAAACAUGACUGACAGUAGGUAAUUUUGCAUGUUAGGACACUUUGGUCAUCUUUUGCGUGCUCUAAGAGUUGAUAGCACAUGCUAUUAGAAACCUAUCCAAUAAGUUGUAACUCCUCUGAGGUUUUCUUUCUUUUAUACGUGAAACAGUAAUUUGGUUGUGGUGUGGUGAAAGCCCUGAAAGCUGGAGCUGUGAUGGUAACUGCUGCAGUUACCUGCCUGGUGCUUUUUAGUAAACCACAUCAAAACUUAGGAUCUUAAAAAGCAAUUUAUUAUUUCCUAGAGUUGAGAGACUCAUCUGGCAACUGGCAUAGCAUCACUCCUGCCAUAUUGUAAUGGUCAAAACAGUUACAGUGCCUGCCCAGAUUCACGUGGGUAGGAUUGGGGAUUGGAAUUCAUCUCGGUCAGAGGUAUAGCGGAGAGUUGGGGGUCCUUUUUAAUCUUCACUGGUGGUACUUUUUUUUUUUUGUCUUUUUAGGGCCGUAUCCAUGGCAUAUGGAGGUUCCCAGGCUAGGGGUCAAAUUGGAACUGUAGCUGCCCACACCACAGCCACAGCAAUACCAGAUCCGAGCGGUGUCUACGACCUACACCACAGCUCACAGCAGUGCCGGAUCCUUAACCCACCGAGCAAGGCCAAGGGUCGAACCCGCAACCUCAAGGUUCCUAGUUGGAUUUGUUUCCGCUGCGCCACAAUGGGAACUCCCCAGAAGACCUUUCUUACCAUUCAUUUUUUAAGAAGUUUUCUUCUGGGUUAAAAUUUACCAUGCUCAGGCCCAGCUCCAAGGUAAAUUUAUUUGGUUAUUGUUAGUAAAAGUGUAGAAACACGAAUAGUUUGUUUAUGGAAAGGUUAAAAGUAAAUAAACUCUAGAGGAAGAAUGUAAGAUUUCCUAGUCCCAACUCCCCUCAAGGAAGCCUACUUAGAUUAUUCUUUUAAGAACUAACUUGCUGUAUUGCUCUUUCUUACUGAGAACUGUGAUAACUUGGAGAAUAUAAGAAAAUGGUUUUUGAAGCAGAUUGAUAUAUUGUGUAUCAUUAAGAGAGCCAGGUGUGCCAGUCCCCACUUCUUCAGAGAGUUGCUAAGCCAGAUAGCUUUCCCUGUAACUCAGUCCCCUCUAAACAUACCCUCUUAGAUAAUGUUUGUGAAGUGCUUUGGGAAAUAAUGAUGAAGUGGGUUGAAGCCAGUAUGGUUCAUAAUUCUUGACUUUAGCUUAAGAUGAGCCUCCCCUUGCUUGUCAUUCAGGGUGCUUACUCUUUAGAGAUUUAAUGGUAAGAUAUUUCUUUUCUGGGUUAGAUUUUAAAAAUGAAAAUUUCCUGUAGUUCCCGUCAUGGUGUGGCAGAAAUAAAUCCAACUAGGAACCGUGAAGUUGCAGGUUUGAUCCCUGGCCUCACUCAGUGGGUUAAGGAUCUGGUGUUGCCGUGAGCUAUUGGAUAGGUCGCAGACGUGGCUUGCAUUCUGAAUUGCUGUGGUUGUGGUGUAGGCUGGCAGCUGUAGCUCCGAUUAGACCCCUAGCCUGGGAUGCAGGUGUGGCUCUGAAAAGAAAAACAAUUUUUUUUUCCUUCUGGGAUUUGUUUAGAACUUGAACUGCCAUGCAUUCUAAGGUGUGUGGAGUGUUCUCUUCCCUGUCUACCUAUGCUCUUGCAGUUCCCUCUGUUACAGUGUGUCUCUCCCAUCACAUACCCAGGCUCUUACUAUAUACCUGUGAGACUUUUUCUCAACCCACAGUAUUGAUGUUGAUUUUCAUUUGUUUCUUUUAGAGCACUGACUUAUGUCUACGUGUCAGAGUUCAUUAUAAACUAUUUUGAGUUCUGAGACCAUCUCAUCAACUUUAUUGCCCUACAGAGCCUCACUUUAUGCUUUGCUUAAGUUUAAUGUGUUGAAUGAAAUGUAUUCCUAGGUACACAGUAUUCCACUAACCUGAGGCUUAGCAAAAGCUAACACUGGAGUGUUAUAAAAAAGUGGAGAAUUAUAAUAUGAAGAAAGCCAUUGAGCAUCAGAUCAUAAUGGCAACUGAUAUUUCUGUAGCACUAUAUAGUAUACAAACUCUUUUGCCUAAAUUUUAUUGGAUACUUUUGACUCUUCUUAGAGGGUUGCAAGUAUUUCCUCUUCUUAACAGAUGAGUAAAGAGUGCCUGGAACUUGUUUAAGCUCACUCGUCUGGAAAGAAGUGGAGCUGGAAGGCAAAUCUAGAUAGUAAGUGUCUCAGGCGGUCUUAUAAUUUAUACUUGUGAUUUUUAUUCAGGUAGGUUCUACUUUAAGAAUAAACAAUAUCUGAAGAUACAAAAUGGAUGGAAAGAUGAAUUUAAUUCUGGGCUUUACUAAAAGAGUUUAUUAUUUGUGUAUAUUAACCAGAGAUUUAACUUGCAGCAGUGUGAUUUAUAUUGUCCAUUGACAUUGUACUGGAUGAGAAAGUUCCUUUUUGUAUUUUUAUAUAUUGAGACUUUAAGAAAAGUAACUUGUGGAAGUUCUCAUUUUGGCUCAUCAGUUCACAAACCCUACUAGUAUCCAUGAGGAUGCAGAUUUGAUGCCUGGCCUCACUCAGUGGGUUAAGGAUCUGGCGUUGCCCUGAGCUAUGGUGUAGGUUGCAGACGGGGCUCAGGUCUGGCGUUGCUAUGGCUGUGGCAUAGACUGACAGCUGCAGCUCCAUUUUGACCCCUAGCCUGGGAACUUCCAUAUGCCACAG